CCCAGCUGUAGGCAACUGCCUAGGUUGCCUUGUACCUAGGCAAGUGUUUCGCUGCAAGGAGAAAAGCAGCCAGUAGCUGGUUGGCGUUUUGGAUCUGGUUGAUGCCAACUUU
rnacentral:snoRNA from 1 species